AUGGUGAGCUGGACUGUGGAAGAAGAACCCAGAAGCUGCAUAGUAGUUCAUCAUGUAGGCCGAGAACCACAGAGAAACACAUUACUGGUUGAUCUCAGCUGGAACGUACCGUGGCAGUGCUGGUCCAGCAGUCAGCCUCGUGGUGGGACGUGCAAAAGCAAGUCUCAGUACUUGCUAGUCAAGUAGGCUCAGUGCUGCAAUGCUGGUGACCCUGGCAGCUGGAGCUUGGACUCCAGGGCAUCUUCAUCGUUCGUAACAUAAACAAGUGCAAGUACAUGGAGGCCUACAGUCUGCUCAAUGAGUAUGCAACGCAUGUACAAGCCUGAAAAAUUUACAGAGAAGGAUCAGGAGUUCUCUGCAAGUGGGGGAGAAGAUGAUGAUACAGAGGCUACCCUGAAGAAAGAAAUUAGUGACAUUAAGGCAUCUACAGAGAUGAGGCUAAGAAGAUUCCAAUCAGUAGAGAGUAGAGUGAAUAAUGUGAGCUUCAUCAGGACGCUUAGGAUGGAACCUGAGAAACUGGUGCAUUAUAUUUUCCAGGAUAUGUACAAAACCAAGAAGAUGAAGACUCAGGUUAUUCUGCAAAUGUUAUCCAUCUCAGGCACGUGCAAGGCUUUCUUAAAAGACAUGAAAAAAUAUGCAGAAACACUUUUGGAACCCUGGUUUAAAGCUCCAAACAAAGGGACAUUUCAGAUUGAAUACAACUCUCAAAAUAACAGUCACAUGAAUAGAGAAGAAGUUAUCAAAGAAUUGGCAGGAAUAGUGGACAGCCUCAAUUCAGAAAAUAAAGUGGAUCUCACCAAUCCACACUACACAGCGGUAGUAGACAUCAUCAAAGCCAUCUGUUGCCUGAGUGUUGUGAAAGAUCACAUGUUUUUCAGACAAUACAGUCUCUAUGAGGUGGUGAAGAGUGUUAAGGACCCAUCACAACCUAACCCAAAGCAGGGAAAUACGAAUGAAACUAAACUGGAAUCAGGUGACACAUUAGAUAAAAACAACUCAGCAGAAGGAAAAAGCCAGCAGGUGAUACCAGAGAAUAGUGAAGAGCUGGGGCAGACAGCGCCAACAUCUAAGAUGCAGGUGGUGAAUGAGGGAGGAGCCAAACCUGAACUUGUGAGCCAGGUCACAGAAGAAUCCAAGUCAAAUACAAAUGACCUGUCGUAGGAGGUCAUUUGGUGUUGGAGGUGGGUUUUUCAACUGAGGUGCUGUGAGUUGU